CCCAUUGGCCGGUGGCGCAGAGCUCUUCACUGACUGCUCCCUCGUGGGCCGCCCGUCUCUAGGGUAGGGAUGGGAUUGGAGGGGAGUGCGGAAAGCAACAAAAGACAUACCCGAGAGAGUAGCUCCCUCAGUACCAGAGCCGUGUGUGGAACAGCCCAGCGCGGCCGCCCGGGUGUGGACAUUUGAGAUAGGAGAUUUACCGUACUUGGCCUCUAGGCGACUCCAAGACCUCGGAGACUCAGAACCUUCGCUCUCACGAAAAGAAGACAAUUCAAAGACAAUCUUUGCAAGAUCAAAACUCAGAACAAAUUCUCGUUCCUGUCCGAUACGUUCCUUGAAAUUCCUCCGACGGUGAUAACAAAAACGUGUUGUGGUCCUAUCUUAACCAGAUUACAGAACAACCGAAUCCGGUGAAACCGAUCCUGAGUAACAGUAGAUUGAAGGAGAAAGGAGUUCCGACAGGAAUUCCAGUUUGAUUUGAGCGACAUAAAAAAGAGUUGUCAAGGGAAUCAUUAAAAGAAAAACACCAAAAAACCCCCUGACCAAAUGAGGUUCCACGUCAACUGCCAUUUUGAUCAACGUACAAGCACAAACAUGACGUAAAAACUUCAGAUAGUACCACAUGACAUUUAUCAACUCAUUUCAUUUUCACUCCUGCUGCUUAAGGGAACAGCCAAAA